AAGGACACAGUGGAUGGACACCACAGUGGACGGACACAAAGGACACCACAAGAAAAGAUGUGCACUGCCCUCCCACAGAAUAAGCAUGAGCAAAGGUUAUAAAGCUGGAUAUUGCCAGGCACUAGACAGGAUAUUCUUUCCUUGCCAAAGCUGAUGAUACAGGUUUGAGACGUAACAGCUGGGAGUAGGAGAGAUAUAAAAUGUUAUUUGAGGUGGCUGCAAAUAAAGAAC
rnacentral:lncRNA from 1 species